CUGGUACAUCAUCAAAUCAUCAAAGUUUUCAUUUAAUUUUACAGUUGGUCAUACAGUAUAAUUAGUUGUUUAAAAUGACAGUCACGUGCUUCUGCUGCACAGACUAUAUGCAGUUGCACUCGUUGAAGGACCCUGAAUGAAGGUGCGCAUCAGAUUAAUCUGGAUUGCAUGCUCAAUUGCACAUACGCUGUGCAACAGAGACACGCUUCGGUCAUUUUUCACACCUAUUUAUGCUGUAUUUACCAACUGUAAAAUCAAAAGGAAAACAUGAUGAUGUACCGGUCUCCGUAAUCUUUGUACUUGUUUGAAAUUUAUAAUCCUGAUAAUAUUCAGAAUCCAGAAAAGUGAACCUGGUGUUACCCAUCAGAAGAAUUAACAGCGGGAUCGCUAAUGCUAAGCAAUCAUCAAUGUCUGUUAUCACUUGAUUCGCUUAGCGUAACUGGAAUAUACCGAGAGCUAUCACGGUACCCCCUGGAGAAAUUUAUCCUUCCCUAUAUAUUCACGUUAUAUAUAUAUAUAUAUAUAUAUAUAUAUAUAUAUAUAUAUAUA